GUGACGUCACUACCGUCGAGGCAGUCCCGUGUGGACGAGGCGAGCGCGGAGAGAGGACACAGCUUUGCUCAUCAUGCGGAUACCACCAUGCUGCACCAGCGAAUACCACGCAUGCGGUAUAGGCAAGCGAUUUGAGGGCGCGUUGGCCGUUGUUUGGGUGAGGUUUAAAUGCCCGCACACAAGAGAGGGACGCACACAAGAGAUACACACAAGGGAGGGACACAGACAAGCGACACAAACACGACAGAGGAACAGUGAUCCAAAGAGAGGGACACACGCAAGAGGUCGACCCACACAAGAUGGGCACACACAAGAGAGGGACACACUAAAGAGAUUGGGACAUCAGGUGGAGACGAGACAAGAAA